AGAAUGCAGGGAAGGGACGAACUGAUGAACAAUUUCAGACAUAUUCCGGGACUCCUCGUCUCACAAUCUAUACAAAGUGUGGUUAUCGUCUUAUCAUUGGUUUUCAUUGUAUAUAUAUCAUACAAACUUAGACGAUUGUACGGGACCUUAGCUGUAAACUAUGAGCAGAACUACUCACUUUACACCCCUGUUACAAAAGUUCGGGAUGAGCGGGUUUUGUAUACCGGAAUACGUCAUCAAACAACAAGUCAAGGUGGUUCAGUGGAGGACCAGGCAGAUUAUAUUAUACUGGUCAGUGCGGAACCAAUUGAACAAAUUUUGGAGUGCGUGUGAAUAAUAAUCCCGGAAACGUUUGUGAUAGAAUUCUACUAGAUAUAGCUUGUAUAUUGUGUACAUCUGUAUGAAAGAAUUCUACUAGAUAUAGCUUGAUAUUGUGUACAUCUGUGUGAUAGAAUCUUACUAGAUAUAACUUGAUAUUGUGUACAUAUGUAUGAUAGAAUUCUACUAGAUAUAACUUGUAUAUUGUGUACAUCUGUAUGAUAGAAUUCUACCAGAUAUAACUUGUAUAUUGUGUACAUCUGUAUGAUAGAAUUCUACUAGAUAUAGCUUGAUAUUGUGUACAUCUGUAUGAUAGCAUUCUACUAGAUAUAGCUUGUAUAUUUUGUACAUCUGUAUGAUAGAAUUCUACUAGAUAUAACUUGUAUAUUGUGUACAUCUGUAUGAUAGAAUUCUACUAGAUAUAACUUGUAUAUUGUGUACAUCUGUAUGAUAGAAUUCUACUAGAUAUAGCUUGUAUAUUGUGUACAUCUGUAUGAUAGAAUUCUACUAGAUAUAGCUUGUAUAUUGUGUACAUCUGUAUGAUAGAAUUCUACUAGAUAUAGCUUGUAUAUUGGGUACAUCUGUAUGAUAGAAUUCUACUAGAUAUAGCUUGUGUUGCUUAUAGGAGUUCUGAGAUUGACCACUGUUCUUUCCUUCGCCUUUCUUGUACAUAGUGAACAUCUGCAAUCAUUACGAAGAUAUUAUCUAAAUAGCUGAAGGUCUAGGAGUCUUAAUAUGUAAAACUUAUACGGUACUAAUUUUGAUGCACCAGAUGCGCAUUUCGAUAAAUAAUGUAUCUUCAGUGAUGCUCAACUGAAAUGUUUGAAAUCCGAAAUAAAAAUGAAGUUUUAGAGUUAUCUUAAGAAAAACUGUGUGCCAAAAACGUGGAGUCAAAUUCGUCUAAGGAUAAGAGCUAUGCGUGAGCGAGAUAAUCCUUAAUUUUGAAAUGAAUUUCUAAAUUUAGAAACAGCAAUUAAAUCUACAUUAAAUAUACAUCCGUAUUUUCAAGCUAGUAACGAAGUACUUAGCUUCUGGGCUGUAUAGACCCCCGGGGACUAACAGUCCACCAGCAGAGGCCUCGACCCAGGGGUUAUAAUGUAAAACUUAUACGGUAGGGUUAGGUGUGACCGGUCAACAGGGGAUGAUUAAUCCUCCUAGGCACCUGAUCCCACCUAUGGUGUGUCCACGGGUCCGUGUUUGCCCAAGUAUCUAUUUUGUAAUGCUUAUAGGAGCUAUGAGAUUGAUCGCUGUUCGUUAUCUUCAACUUACAUGAUAAACUUUCUGUACGUGUCUGAUUUUUGCUAAAAAGCUUUAAAUUCAUCUUUAAAUGCACAACUUACAAGAAUGUGUCUUUGAUAACGAUAAAAUGUGUUGAAAUCCCAAUAUAUUUUAUUCAUUAACAAUACUUUCUUUAUUUGUUCAUAUGCAUUAUCAAACAAUAAGAUUUUGUAACAACAAUUAAAUAUACAUCCGCAUUUUCAAUCUAGUAACGAAGUACUUAGCUACUGGGCUGUGGAGACCCUAGGUGACUAACUGUCCACCAGCAGAGGCCUCGACCCAGGGGUCAUAAUGUAAAACUUAUACAGUACUAAUUUUGAUGCACCAGAUGCGCAUUUCGACAAAUAAUGUUUCUUCAGUGAUGCUCAACCGAAAUGUUUGAAAUCCGAAAUAGCAAUGAAGUUUCAGAACUAUUUUAAGGAAAAUCUGUGUGCCAAAAAAGUGGAGUAAAAUUCGUUUAAGGAUAAAAGCUAUGUGUAAGGGAGAUAGUCAUUAAUUUUGAAAUGAAUUUCUAAAUUUUGUAACAGCAAUUAAAUAUGCAUCCGUAUUUUCAAGUUCGUAACGAAGUACUUAGCUACUGGGCUGUAGAGACCCUCGGGGACAAACAGUCCAUCAGCAGAGUCCUCGACCC